rnacentral:rRNA from 1 species
GGGAGGUAGUGACAAUAAAUAACAAUAUGGGGCUCUUACGGGUCUCGUAAUUGGAAUGAGUACAAUUUAAAUCUCUUAACGAGGAACAAUUGGAGGGCAAGUCUGGUGCCAGCAGCCGCGGUAAUUCCAGCUCCAAUAGCGUAUAUUAAAGUUGUUGCAGUUAAAAAGCUCGUAGUUGAAUUUCGGGGACUGUCCAUUGGUCGGGCUUCACGGUCCGUACUGGUGAGAUGGGUUCCUACCUUCUGAAUAACCAGCAUGCCAUUUAGUUGGUGCGCCGGGGAAGCAGAGCUAUUACCUUGAAAAAUUAGAGUGCUUAAAGCAGGCUAGUGCUUGAAUAGAUUAGCAUGGAAUAAUAAAAUAGGACGGCAUGGUUCUAUUUUGUUGGUUUCUAGGAUCACCGUAAUGAUUAAUAGGGAUAGUUGGG